rnacentral:rRNA from 1 species
GAACGUCGUGAGACAGUUCGGUCCCUAUCUGCCGUGGGCGCUGGAGAACUGAGGGGGGCUGCUCCUAGUACGAGAGGACCGGAGUGGACGCAUCACUGGUGUUCGGGUUGUCAUGCCAAUGGCACUGCCCGGUAGCUAAAUGCGGAAGAGAUAAGUGCUGAAAGCAUCUAAGCACGAAACUUGCCCCGAGAUGAGUUCUCCCUGACCCUUUAAGGGUCCUGAAGGAACGUUGAAGACGACGACGUUGAUAGGCCGGGUGUGUAAGCGCAGCGAUGCGUUGAGCUAACCGGUACUAAUGAACCGUGAGGCUUAACCUUACAACGCCGAAG